GGGGAUUUAGCUCAGCGGUAGAGCGCUUGCCUAGCAAGCACAAGACCCUGGGUUCGAUCCCGAGCUCCG
rfam:Rattus norvegicus chromosome 20, whole genome shotgun sequence.